AAGGACAUUACCAAAAAAGUUAACCAUAUAGCUUUAGCUAAAGGCUACAGAGAACAUAAAUAGAAAUCUGUUUAUUAGUUCCUUUGUUUCUAGACCUUGCAACCCAAAACAUAAUGUAUAUUCAAGGGUACGAUAAUAUGCACCUCUCCUUAUUUAGAAUAUUUCUGCGUAAUAGCAGUCUGCAGGUCACGGAUGUCCAUAAAUAAAGAUGUAGAGUUUUUCUUGAAGUAGUUACUUCAACAUUUAUGAUGCAAAAAAUGAAGUCUACUGAGGGAAUAUGAAACGAAUGUUCGCUGAAAGUUGGGAAAAUAACCGUGCCGAUGAAGUGUGGAAUUCAAGGAAUGCAAUAAGAAUCGAAAGCAACUGAUCAUAAAUCACUGUUUCGUACGAACGUGUAAUCUGCUAGAACUUCAACGAGAUUACACAGGGGGCUAAUAAAUGACGACUUAAAAAACACUCGAUUUGUUUCCUUAAUUUAAGUUAGAAAUCAGAAAAUUGCAAGAAAUUCCUGUUAAAUUUAUUUUAGAAAGUUCUCUAUCAUUGAGCACAGAAAAAUUACGAACCAUGGAAACAAAAACUUCGUAUCUUUAAAUGGAAAUAAUAAGAACAACUGAUCUGAUAACUGUACUGGCCAUCCAUUAACAGUUAACAUAUUAGAAAGAGGGUUGGCCAUUAAACACAGUAGUCAAAGAGAAAUAUCCAGAGUUUUGUAAU
rnacentral:lncRNA from 1 species